rnacentral:rRNA from 1 species
AUUGAACGCUGGCGGCAGGCCUAACACAUGCAAGUCGAACGCGUGGCGGACGGGUGAGUAAUGUCUGGGAAACUGCCCGAUGGAGGGGGAUAACUACUGGAAACGGUAGCUAAUACCGCAUACCAUCGGAUGUGCCCAGAUGGGAUUAGCUAGUCGGUGGGGUAACGGCUCACCUAGGCGACGAUCCCUAGCUGGUCUGCGAGGAUGACCAUCCAGACUGGAACUGAGACACGGUCCAGAGUCCUACGGGAGGCAUCAGUGGGGAAUAUUGCACAAUGGGCGAAUGCCUGAUACAGCCAUGCCGCGUGUAGGAAGAAGGCCUUCGGGUUGUAAAGUACUUUCAGCGAUGAGGCGUUACUCGCAGAAGAAGCACCGGCUGACUCCGUGCCAGCCGCCGCGGUAAUAC